rnacentral:rRNA from 1 species
GAUGAACGCUGGCGGCGUGCUUAACACAUGCAAGUCGAACGGUGAAGCAGGAGCUUGCUCUUGUGGAUCAGUGGCGAACGGGUGAGUAACACGUGAGCAACCUGCCCCUGACUCUGGGAUAAGCGCUGGAAACGGCGUCUAAUACUGGAUAUGUGAUGUGACCGAAUGGCCUGCAUCUGGAAAGAAUUUCGGUUGGGGAUGGGCUCGCGGCCUAUCAGCUUGUUGGUGAGGUAAUGGCUCACCAAGGCGUCGAAGGGUAGCCGGCCUGGGAGAGGGACCCGCCACACUGGGACUGAGACACGGCCCAGACUCCUACGUGAGGCAGCAGUGGGGAAUAUUGCACAAUGGGCGGAAGCCUGAUGCAGCAACGCCGCGUGAGGGAUGACGGCCUUCGGGUUGUAAACCUCUUUUAGCAGGGAAGAAGCGAAAGUGACGGUACCUGCAGAAAAAGCACCGGCUAACUACGUGCCAGCCGCCGCGGUAA